UACGGAGGGUGCGAGCGUUGUCCGGAAUCACUGGGCGUAAAGGGCGCGUAGGCGGCGCGGAUAGUCGGCGGUGAAAGCCCGGAGCUCAACUCCGGGUCGGCCGUCGAUACUUCCGGGCUUGAGCACUGUAGAGGCAGAUGGAAUUCCGGGUGUAGCGGUGGAAUGCGUAGAGAUCCGGAAGAACACCGGUGGCGAAGGCGGUCUGCUGGGCAGUUGCUGACGCUGAUGCGCGACAGCGUGGGG
rnacentral:rRNA from 1 species